rnacentral:rRNA from 1 species
UACGUAGGGUGCGAGCGUUAUCCGGAAUUAUUGGGCGUAAAGAGCUCGUAGGCGGUGUGUCACGUCGGCCGUGAAAACCUGCAGCUUAACUGUGGGCGUGCGGUCGAUACGGGCAUCACUGGAGUUCGGCAGGGGAGACUGGAAUUCCUGGUGUAGCGGUGAAAUGCGCAGACUAUCAGGAGGAACACCGGUGGCGAAGGCGGGUCUCUGGGCCGAUACUGACGCUGGAGGCGCGAAAGCGUGGGGAGCAAACAGG